UACGGAGGGUGCAAGCGUUGUUCGGAAUCACUGGGCGUAAAGGGCGUGUAGGCGGUCUAUCAAGUCUGGUGUGAAAUCCCCUCGCUCAACGAGGGAACUGCGCCGGAAACUGACAGACUAGAGUACCGGAGAGGAAGGUGGAAUUCCCGGUGUAGCGGUGAAGUGCGUAGAUAUCGGGAGGAACACCGGUGGCGAAGGCGGCCUUCUGGACGGAUACUGACGCUGAGACGCGAAAGCGUGGGGAGCAAACAGG
rnacentral:rRNA from 1 species